GUACACGCUGUGACUAGCAUAUCAAUAAGCGGAGGAAAAGAAACUAACAAGGAUUCCCCUAGUAACGGCGAGUGAAGCGGGAAGAGCUCAAAUUUGAAAUCUUAAAGGGUUUCCCUUUACGAAUUGUAGUUUAAAGAAGUGUUUUCUGUUGAGGUUUUGGUAAAAGUUCUUUGGAAUAGGACAUCAUAGAGGGUGAGAAUCCCGUAUUUGACCUUUACUUUCAACUUUGUGAUACACUUUCAAAGAGUCGGAUUGUUUGGGAAUGCAGUCCAAAAUGGGUGGUAAAUUUCAUCUAAAGCUAAAUAUUGGCGAUGAGACCGAUAGCGAACAAGUACCGUGAGGGAAAGAUGAAAAGAACUUUGAAAAGAGAGUUAAACAGUACGUGGAAUUGUCAAAAGGGAAGCGUUUGACACCAGUGUUGUUUUUCUGAAAAUCAAUUAAAGAACUGUUUAUGCUAAGCUGUUUAGACUUUAUCAGCUAACUGUUUAGUUUUGAGCUUUUCUUUAAUGCACUUUUCAGUUAACAAGUCAACAUCAAUUUCUUUUGCUGUAAAAAAGCUUGAGGAAGGUGGCUUGAGAUUCGUCUUAAGUGUUUAUAGCCUCUUGCCUAUGCAGUCGGAGAGAUUGAGGUCUGCAGCGUAGAUCCUUCGGGGCUAAAUGCAUUUGUGCUAAGUUAUAGCAUUUUAUAGACAACUUGUUGACUAUGAUUUGUCUUGUAGCUUACUCGCUUAUGUUAUUUUACCUACGCUUAGGAUGUUGAAGAUGUAGCCAUCAU
rnacentral:rRNA from 1 species